ACCAUGGAUGCAGAUUGUUAUCGUAAGAUGAAAAAGUCGCUACACAUGGGAACACUCUUAUUAUAGAUGCUUUUGAUGGUCCUAAUUACGCACACAUUGAUACAUUUAUCUCUUUAGCUGAAGUAUCUGUUUGCUUAGCUCAUACAUUUCAAGGAUAGUAAUCCGUAUAAAAUCUCAUAAGUAGAAGGGUGGAAGGCUUUGGACUCCGCAGCUUUGUGUACACUAGGAGCACUUGCAUUAGCCACUGAACCUCCUACCAAUGAAUUGAUGGAACGACAACUGGACCGAAUUAAUGGAAAAAAAAAAGAAAACAAUCGGUGAUGGGUUAAAAGAGGUAAAAUUUUGUUACACUUCAGGUCAGUCCGAGUUAACCCUAAACAUAUAUCAAUGUUUCCGGAGGUUUAUAAGUACUUAGUGUAUUAAACAUAUCACAAACAUUUCCGGAGGUUUGUAAGCAUUUGGAUACGCUAUAGGUGAUUUUCAACACAUGACUUUUAACUGAUUUUAAUUUUUUUAAUCCAUUUGCUUUGUUGAAUAUAAAAUACAAGCUCAAAAUCGACUACUUCUAUGUAUUUUUGUACUUUCGCGACUUUGGAUGAGAUUAAUCAUAUGACCUAUUUUGCAUUUCAGUUUAAGCUUUUGAAUUUUAGGUAAAUAGUUCGAAAAUGUCGCGUCACUAUUAUAUUAAGUAAGAUGGCUUUGGACAACUGGAAGAGACUUUACUCCAACACCAAAACUAACUUCCAUGAGGUUGCGAUCAAAGCUAUAAUAUUUUUAACUGUCAAAACGACUGAGGAUGAAGGAACACAAAGUUCUCUUAAUUGUUUUGGGAAUUGGUUUAGUUUUCGAUUGAUUGGUGGCAGGCCGGAAUCAUCCUCUACUACAUGCUUACCGACGGAUUUUCUGAUCAAUUAGCAAAAUUAGUUUAGUCGGUGGUCUAAAUGUCAACUACCAAUCAAGGCACUGGCGAACGUACGUUUCUAGAUCCACUUUGUGGCGAAGGCUACUCGUUAGAUGGGACAAGAUUGUGAUAGUGGUGAUGAAUGAGGUUCGUUUUAGCACAGUCCAUAUCUAGCUGAAUCUGUUACUAGAGGAACUCCUGCUGUGAAUAGGCGGGUCAGGAAAGUCAGCUUAGACCAAGUUGCUCAACUUCCAAGUCUAUAAUGUAUCUGGUUAUGACUUGAACAUUGAUAUAGAUCCAACAAUGGAAGACAGUUACGUUUUUCGUAUUUAGUAUGAUAGUUUCGGUUCUUACCACUUGAUCUUUGUUUGCCUUGUGUUACAUUGUUAGUGCCAAACAUAUGAACAUCGCCAGGCUUAUAGCUGUUUUAACUUAAAAAUUAGAGUACGAUGCCAUUUUCGUCCCUGAGAUUUUGGCCACUUUUGUGACUUUCGUCCAAAGGUUUGUUUUUCCGCAUCUGGAUCCAAAAGGUUUGAAAUCUUGCCAUUUUUCAUCCGACUCAUUAACUCCAUCCGUUUUUCUCCAUUAAAUGAGGGGCAUUUCUGUCUUUUUAUGCAUUU